GAAGGGAAGUGAGGGGUAGAGGAAGGCGGGUUCCUGGCUCGGCUCUACCACCAUGGAUCUAGGUGAGGACAGGCGCUCCUGCUUUCCCGCCCAAAUGUUGUAUUUUCCAAGCCUACCCUUGCCGGCCACGCCCCCAACCUGGGCCUAUAAAAACCGCCCCCCGCAGGCCCUAGCGGGCAGACACACUGAAGUCGCUAGACGUCUGAGGAACACAUCCGGGGAAGAAGACACAGGUGGCUGGUCAUCGAGAGCCCGCUGGGGGAAGAGCACACAGACAGGCACCGGCAGGCCAUUGACCAGCGGGACAAGGUGGGCUCAAUGUCAUCACAAGGGUGCUUAAGAGGGAAAGAGGAAGCCAUGAGGGUCAGAGUCAAAGGAAGACUUGAAGAUACUACACUGUGGACUUUACAGAUGAAGGAAGGGGCGAAAACCAAGAAUGUGGGAAGCCUCUAGAAGCUAGAGAAGGCAAGGAAACAAAUUUUCCACUAGAGCCUCCAGAAGGAACACAGCCCUGCUGACCCACUGUAAUGUCUGACCUCUAGAUGUGUAAGGGUAGUAAGACUGAAAGUCUCAGAAAGGCACUGUUACAUUCUUAUUCCACAACUAUGCAACUCGAAACUGGGGUCCUCAGCAGUGAGCGAGGGGUGAGAGAAGACACUGUAUAAACAUGGCACAUCCUCCUGGAAAGUCAACUUUACUCAAAGGUUCUUACACACAGUGACAGCUAGCAGAGUCUAAAAUGCUGACAUUAUGACUUAGAGAUGUGAUAAAGAGAAACAUCUACUGCAUUUUCUGUAAGUAAAUGUGGUGCCGGCAUUGAGAGAACAUACGUAAUCAGAUACCUGUUCUCCCUGAGUUUCUUAAUUUAAGCCUCGCGAUUCCUAAUUAGCAGUUAGAUUGCAUCCAUUGUUAUUUUGUCUUUGGUUAUCAAUGAUGAUCAACCUUUGCUAAACAAAGAUAUGUCAUCAUGCUGGGGACACUCAUGGAUUUUUUUUUUAAAGGUUUUAACAUUUGAUAAUAGGUUUUCCAAUAGCUUGAAGGGUAGCUUUUAACAUUUCUUUUCCAGCUGAAGUAUUUCCUGAGUUCUGUCCAAGCCCUCUGUAGUUAAAGAAAAGGCUUUUUGACACUGAAUAGACAAUGUUGUGGCUUUUUUUUUCCUUCUUCAGACAAAUGUGUAGGCAUUUAGACCGCCACGUUGUACUCUCGUAAUUGAGACACCUUGCAGAAAUGGCAAUUAAGGGUGACUCGUGUCAAAAAUAUUCAGGACAAAUUACAUUUUACUGAUUUUUAAAAACUUUCAAAGGUACUCUCUCCUCUUUCUUUCUCCUUUCUCUCUUCCUACCUCCCUCCCACCCGCUCCUCGUUUUUUCUUUUAAAUAUUAAGUAAACUGUUUGCAUUUUUACGUCUCAUCAAAGUUGUUCCAGGUUUUUUCUGGGUUUACUGAAACUUCAAAUUGACUACUCAGAUCAAAACAAUUAGUGAAGUCUAAGGUAUUCUUAAUUCCUGAAAUGAAAACAGAAUGGACGUUCAGGACGUUCUGUUUUGCUCUGGCUACCCGCUUGGCUUCUCGCUCAGAAUAUUCUUGCUCUCAAGUUAGUUCCAGUUCUGUUUAUUUUGUCCUGAGCUCAGUGAACUUUCCAAAGCCCUACUCUUCAAACAACACUUUUUUUCCCCCGCCCCGUGAGCUGGAGUUUAUUUUGUGCUCACCCUUCAUUCUGUGAGUUGUGAAUAAUUUUAACACAAAGAAAAAAAAAUCUCCUCCCGACCACGGAGAGAAGAGGGGAUUUUAGAAUAAAGAUAAAAAUUGCUGUUUUAGCCCCCAAAGCAAAGGACUUGGGAAAGAAGAGAAAAGGGGGGAAAAUAGAACAGCAAAGGAAAAAAAAAAAAAACAGAAAAAAAUUUUUUAUAAGGGUGUCAGUACAAAACAGGUGUUUGAUGAAGCUCAAGCAAAACAAAUGACAAAGUUAGCAUUGAAAGGCCAAAUACGUGAUACACAUUUAAACUACUUAGGUAAAUUUAUUUAUGAAAUAAAUAUGCAGUUUUUCAAAUUUGAACAUGGAGCAAAUGUUUACAGAUUGAAACUUAUCAUUUCUUGAUUACCAGUAUGAAGUAGGGCAAUAGUCCUAUUGAAAGCCAUUCUUAAUUGGGCUCAUUGUAAAUGUUUGGUUAAAAGAAAAGAUUAAAGUGAGCUUUGACCUCUGUGGAAUGCUGAGGCUGGUGAAAUUUCUGGUUCUAGCAUUAUCCUCAAAUUGUCUCACAGAGAAUUAUAUUUUACAAAGUUAGAAGGCAGAAGAACCCUACUCUUUGUUUUAGAUUUGCCUAGCAUCCAGUCAGAGAUGGGUAAAUAAGGACAGAACCAUGGGACUCCAGUGGCCUUACUUAGGAGGCCCAUACUAAUGGCAACGGCAAGACAGUGCUACAUAGACAUAAAUAAUCUGUGAUUGCAGAUGUGCAGGUACAGUAUAAAAAAAAUUAUUCUAUCCUUAUAGUCUUAGGUGUUGGCACAUUUCUUUUGAGCCCAUGUAUAGAACAGGACAACAUGAAAAGUGAAAUAUUCAAGCCGUGGAGAAAAAGAAAAUAUAUUGUUGUAUUUUAUUUAUGG